rnacentral:tRNA from 1 species
GGGCCCAUAGCUCAGCGGUAGAGCAAGAUCCUUUUAAGAUCGCGGUCGAAGGUUCGAAUCCUUCUGGGCUCA